GGAAGGAUCAUUAACAAAUUGAAUCCAAUUCAUAACCGUGUCUUGUUACCUGGCGUCAGCCAGUGAUUUUCAAACCCAAUUUUCUGAUCUUUUACUUCUCGAGAGCAAUCUCGUGAAACUAAUUGAUACAACUGUUAACAACGGAUCACUCGGUUCUCACAUCGAUGAAGAGCGUAGCGAAUUGCGUUAAUUGAUGCGACUUGCAUAAAUCGUGAAUCAUUGAGUUCUUGAACGCACAUUGCACCUUUUGGUACUCCGAAAGGUCUGCCUGUUUGAGUAUUGAUUUAACCAAUAAACUCAAGUUCGCUGUUUUGGCCAUCGUCAAACAGCUGGCUUGGAAUUGAGGUUUCGGCACGCCCGCUGAUGCCUUCAAAUAAAAGUUAAACUUUCCCUAUGUCAGCAUGUUUAGUUGAACUUGAACACAUUAUGUUUUAGUCGGGCUCGUCAAAGUCUGUCAAUCAUAAAGUGAACAAGCACCACUAAAUGCCGUUGUUUGGCCUCCUUCGUCAAAAGGAGUGGGUUAGUCUAAAACUAAAUUUUGUACAAACUCGAUCUCAAAUCAGGUAGGAUUACCCGCUGAACUUAAGCAUAUUAAUAAGCGGAGGAAAAGAAACCAACAGGGAUUCCCUUAGUAACGGCGAGUGAACCGGGAAGAGCUCAAAUUUGAAAUCAAGUCAGCUCAAGCUGGUCUUGACGUGUAGUUUGAUGAGGCAUGUUCGGCGAUGGUCUGGGCUUAAGUCCUUUGGAAAAAGGCAUCAUAGAGGGUGAUAAUCCCGUAUGUAGCUCAUGAAACUUAUUGCCAUGUGAACUGUCUUCAAAGAGUCGAGUUGCUUGGGAGUGCAGCUCUAAAUGGGUGGUAAAUUCCAUCUAAAGCUAAAUAUUAGUGAGAGACCGAUAGCAAACAAGUACCGUGAGGGAAAGUUGAAAAGCACUCUGAAGAGAGAGUCAAACAGUACGUGAAAUUGUUAACAGGAAAACGUUGGGCACCAGUACACAUUGAUGUGAAUUCAGCUUCGCGCUAGUGAUGGUGUCUUUGUUCAGAGUCUUUCGGGGCCUGGGCAAGGGCAUUGAGUUGCUAGAGUGGGGUGCACUUUUGCAUCGAUGGGUCAACAUCAGUUAGUGACGUUAUAUAACACCUCAAGGAAUGUAGGAAUCGCUUCGGUGAUUCAACUUAUAGACUUGGGGACUGCAUAAUGCUGCUGACUGAGGAUUCGCGGUCUACGCCUUUAGGCAGGGCUAUUAGGCAAAGUGGUUGGCAGUAGGGCUUAACAACCUAGUUGAUGAGUUCUAUGACGCUAAACACCUUGUUUGAUGUGCCACUAGUAGACCAAGGAUGUUGGCGAAAUGGUAUUCAACGACCCGUCUUGAAACACGGACCAAGGAGUCUAACAAAUAUGCAAGUAUUUGGGUGCAAAACCCGAAUGCGUAAUGAAAGUGAUCAUGGUAAGAAGCUGCGCUUGCGCGGCCGCAUUGCCAACCGAUCUAAUUUGGCUUCUGUCCAAAAGAUUUGAGUAAGAGCAUAUUCGUUAGGACCCGAAAGAUGGUGAACUAUGCCUGAGUAGGAUGAAGCCAGAGGAAACUCUGGUGGAGGUCCGUAGCGAUUCUGACGUGCAAAUCGAUCGUCAAACUUGGGUAUAGGGGCGAAAGACUAAUCGAACCAUCUAGUAGCUGGUUCCUGC
rnacentral:misc_RNA from 1 species